GGAAGUCUAUCCGGGCUUUCGCGUCACCACCCUGCCCACCUGGGUGGCGCGUGGCUUACGCAACGGUCACUGGGCUCCUGGGCCGCUCCCGGGCCAGCGAGGGCUGCGAAAGAAGUUGUAGGAAUGGACGAACUGCAAGGUAGCCAAGAAGUGCGAGUACACCAAGGAAAGGCAAUAACCGAAGCCAUUCUGAAACUAAACAUGUAGAUGUGUCAGAAUCUGCAGUGCUCUUGGAAAAGAAUUCAAAAUAGCAUGUCUAGUUUCAUCCUUGAGCUUAUUCUUUGUUACUUUUUACAUUAAUUCCUUUUUAAUGGAUCCAUAAAACUGUGAAUAAAUAACACAAUAAAGCCAGCUCUACC
rnacentral:lncRNA from 1 species